rnacentral:rRNA from 1 species
AACGAACGCUGGCGGCAGGCCUAACACAUGCAAGUCGAGCGAAGCCUUCGGGCUUAGCGGCGGACGGGUGAGUAACGCGUGGGAACGUGCCCUUUGCUACGGAAUAGCCCCGGGAAACUGGGAGUAAUACCGUAUGUGCCCUUCGGGGGAAAGAUUUAUCGGCAAAGGAUCGGCCCGCGUUGGAUUAGGUAGUUGGUGGGGUAAUGGCCUACCAAGCCGACGAUCCAUAGCUGGUUUGAGAGGAUGAUCAGCCACACUGGGACUGAGACACGGCCCAGACUCCUACGGGAGGCAGCAGUGGGGAAUCUUAGACAAUGGGGGAAACCCUGAUCUAGCCAUGCCGCGUGAUCGAUGAAGGCCUUGGGGUUGUAAAGAUCUUUCAGUGGGGAAGAUAAUGACUGUACCCACAGAAGAAGCCCCGGCUAACUCCGUGCCAGCCGCCGCGGUAAGAC